GACCGCCCGGGGUGGGCUGGAGCGGCGCGGCGCGGGGGAGCCGGGGCUCCGCUGCGCCUCCGCCCGCUGGGCGCGGAGCUUUGGGUGGGGAGAGUUUAUUUUUGUCUCGAUCUGCUGCCGCGGCUGCUCCCGGCCUAAAUCCAGAGGGGCGCCUGGCGGUGGAGAUGCUGGCUGUUGCUGUAGAUGGAGCUGCAGCCACUCGGCUGCUUCUCCGGGAGGAGGAGGAGGAGGAGGAGGAGGAGGAAGGAACUGAGGCUGCCGCUGCCUCCGCCUCUGCUUUGCAUUAGCCCCCACCCCCACCCCCGCGCCCCCCGCAGCCGCAUUGCAAGUUUUCUGCGCGGGAUUUGUUGCUGGCGCUGGCGUUCUCGGCACAGCCCCUGAGGCCACCCCGGGUUGGGGGUGUGGGGAGUAUCAGCCGUUCGCGGCGGCAGCAACAGGAAGCCGUGGGGUCUCCUCCAGCACCUGGGAAGGAGACUUCUUGCCAUUCCCAGAACAGGAAUAGCUCCUCUCCGGCAUCCAGUGGUGAUCGCCCUCGGGAAUGCGGGUGUGAAGGAAGAGACCCGGGCCGCCGGAAAUCACCAUCCCGAAGCCGAGAAGGGGGAAGAGCAUUCUCGAUUCAGUUUGUGUGGCUUCUGGGGAGUUUUAAAAAAAUCGUUAUUUUUUAAGAAAGAAACAUUUCCGCGCUACUGUCUGUCAUCGCCUCUGGGGAAAUCAGCCAGAACCGCGGGACCGUAACUGAACGGACGGCAGGGGCAGGAGCCGAGGCCGAACCUGCAGCGCGCGGCGCCGGGCCGCCUGGGGCUGCGGCGCCGCCGAACUUUGGGGCGGGCGGGCCAGGCCGGGCGCGAGGGGCUCCGUAGACCGAGGGCCGCCCCCUAACCAUGAUGUUUCGCGACCAGGUCGGGGUGCUGGCGGGCUGGUUUAAGGGCUGGAACGAGUGCGAGCAGACCGUGGCGCUGCUGUCGCUGCUCAAGCGCGUGAGCCAGACCCAGGCCCGCUUCCUCCAGCUCUGCCUGGAGCACUCGCUGGCCGACUGCGCCGAGCUGCACGUCCUCGAGGGCGAGGCCAACAGCCCCGGAAUCAUUAACCAAUGGCAACAGGAAUCCAAGGAUAAAGUGAUUUCCCUCCUGUUAACUCACCUGCCUUUGCUGAAGCCAGGAAACCUCGACGCUAAAGUAGAGUAUAUGAAACUGCUGCCCAAAAUCCUGGCGCACUCUAUUGAGCACAACCAGCACAUUGAGGAGAGCAGGCAGCUGCUGUCCUAUGCUCUGAUCCACCCGGCCACGUCUCUGGAAGACCGCGGUGCUUUAGCCAUGUGGCUGAAUCACUUGGAGGACCGCACGUCGACCAGCUUUGGCGGCCAGAGCCGAGGCCGCUCAGACUCUGUGGAUUAUGGGCAGACACACUACUAUCACCAAAGACAGAACUCCGACGACAAGCUCAAUGGGUGGCAGAACUCUCGAGAUUCUGGGAUUUGCAUCAACGCCUCCAACUGGCAGGACAAAAGCCUGGGAUGUGAGAAUGGCCAUGUGCCUCUCUAUUCCUCCUCAUCCGUCCCCACCACAAUCAACACCAUUGGAACCAGCACCAGUACAAUUCUCUCAGGCCAGGCACACCACAGCCCUUUGAAACGAUCUGUUUCCCUUACCCCACCCAUGAAUGUGCCAAACCAGCCUCUAGGACAUGGAUGGAUGUCUCAUGAGGACUUACGAGCUAGAGGACCCCAGUGCCUCCCAUCCGAUCAUGCCCCCCUGUCUCCACAAAGCAGUGUAGCCUCUUCAGGAAGUGGUGGGAGUGAACACUUAGAAGAUCAGACCACUGCUCGUAACACAUUCCAAGAAGAAGGUAGUGGUAUGAAAGAUGUUCCAGCCUGGUUAAAAAGCCUCCGCCUGCACAAGUACGCUGCCCUUUUCUCCCAGAUGACCUAUGAGGAAAUGAUGGCCCUCACUGAGUGCCAGCUGGAGGCUCAGAAUGUUACCAAAGGUGCAAGACACAAAAUUGUCAUCAGUAUUCAGAAGCUCAAAGAAAGACAAAACCUCCUGAAGUCUUUGGAAAGGGACAUCAUCGAGGGGGGCAACCUGCGCAUCCCGCUCCAGGAACUGCACCAGAUGAUCCUGACUCCCAUCAAGGCCUACAGCUCCCCGAGUGCCACCCCCGAGGCACGCCGCCGGGAGACCCGGGCCUCGCUCAUGGGCCCCGAGAGCCAGAGCCCCGACUGCAAAGACAGUGCCGUGGCCACUGGCGCCACCGCCACCACCUCAGCUGGGGCCAGCGGCGGGCUCCAGCCACACCCGCUGAGCAGCUGUGAGGGGGAGCUGGCCGUCGCCCCCCUGCCGGAGGGGGAUCUCCCCGGGCAGUUCACACGUGUCAUGGGGAAAGUGUGCACACAGCUCUUGGUCUCCAGACCUGAUGAGGAGAAUAUAAGUUCUUAUUUACAGCUCAUAGACAAAUGUCUAAUUCAUGAGGCAUUUACAGAGACACAGAAAAAAAGGUUGUUGUCAUGGAAACAGCAGGUGCAGAAGCUCUUCCGGUCUUUCCCUCGGAAAACCCUUCUAGACAUAUCAGGAUAUCGACAGCAGAGAAACCGCGGCUUCGGACAGUCCAACUCCCUCCCGACGGCCGGCUCUGUGGGUGGCGGCAUGGGCAGACGGAACCCACGCCAGUACCAGAUCCCCUCGCGGAGCAUGCCUUCCGCCCGCAUCGGCCUCCUGGGCACCAGCGGAUUCGUCAGCUCCACCCCGCGCAGCACCGCAGCCAACCCCACCAUCAUGAAGCAAGGAAGACAGAACCUCUGGUUUGCCAACCCCGGGGGCAGCAACAGCAUGCCAAGCCGCAGCCACAGCUCAGUGCAGAGGACCCGCUCACUGCCUGUGCACACUUCUCCGCAGAGCAUGCUGAUGUUCCAGCAGCCAGAAUUCCAGCUUCCCGUGACUGAACCUGACAUCAACAACAGGCUGGAGUCCUUGUGCCUCAGUAUGACCGAGCAUGCCCUGGGAGAUGGCUCCCUCGGGCCUGGAGCCUGGUGGCUGGUGUGGGCACAGCAGCCCGCGGGCACCUCCCUCCAGGUUGGACUCACCGCCGGCCCUGGGAAGUUUGGCUGAUGGAGGAGAGAGGUCCAUCCCUUCCUGCCAACCUCCAGGAGGCUGAGUCCCGGGCACCCAGAGAGGCCUCCUGUGCCCCAUCCCGGGAGCCGGCAGCCAUCUCCAGGCUGGGCACGCUCACCCUCCAGAGAGGCCCCCACACCCCUGGAGCUCUGGCCGCCUGGGGGAACGGCCGCCCACUGCUGCUCCAGAGAGCUCUGUCCUCCUGACCAGGGACUUGUAGGUUUUUAGUCUCUGAAACACAGUCUUAUCCUGAAAGCAAAUAUGAGACAGGUCAAUGCUCUUCAUGGAGCAGAGUGGAGAGCCAGGGCGGUACCCGCUGACCUCACGUGCAGCAUUCUCCACACCUCGGUACAGAAGGGAGCGAGCCAGGGCGUCCUGGGCCUGCUGACCAAAUGGUGGCAGGAGCGCCCAGCUCCUUCCAUGACCUCCCUGGGGUUCCAGGAACCCCAUUUGCAAACACUGCCCUUUCCUUUGGCCACUCAGAUCCUAAAAGCUUCGCAGCAUCAUUGCGCCAUCCUUAGUACUCCGGGGCCAGGUGCUACCAGCUGCUCUUCUCCAGCUAACUGAGGAGAUUGGGUCAGCACACCCAUAACCUGAUGCAUAAUGGGAAACAACCCAAAGAUCCAUCUACGGAUGAACAAAACGUACUAUAGCUGUGCACUGGAAUUUCAGUCAGCCUUAAAAAGGAAGGAAAUACUGACGCGUGCUACAAGACGGAUGAACCUUGAAAACAUUAUAACGGGGUUGACCGGACCUCCACAAUCUAGAAGCUGAAGAUGCGAGCGACUGCGCUGGCCGUGAAAUCGACUGCUGUGGGCCCAGUGCCAGCUGUCUGCGGGGCUGCACGGAGUCCUCCAGAUACUUCGCAGCCUUUUCCCUGGUCCCUCUCCCAUUUUGAUUUUGUGAGAGCGUAGGUCGUCCUUGUAAACAUAUCAGUAGACCUGGGCUUGGUUAUUUUGUCAUUUGUUUCUGUUGUGGGAUGGCUUGGUGUGGGGUGGGGUGGGGUCUCUAAGGAAACCUGAGACUGGGAGGGGGUGGAGGGGAUACAGGUGGCUUCCUGGAUGGAAAGAGGCAAAAACAGACUACUACCGUGAACGAGGAGAGAGAGACACAGCAGAGAAGCAGAGCCCAGCCCUGGAGCCUUCUAGACCGCUCCACCUGCAGUCAGGCCCCAGGAGGAAGUCAUGGAUACGUGCGACCAAAGCAAGAUGGCGGCUCCCCUCUUCUGCCCCCCAGUUGGGUUUCCUAGAGGCCCCUGCCUGGAGCCGAGCGCACGAGAGGCCAUGUGGCAACAGGGGAGAGGGGAGAAAGUCCCUCUGACACAAUUUCGGAUAAACUUUGAUUUGUGUAUUGUUUACAAAACAAUUUUAAAGGGUACAUAAUGUCUAAAGAGUUUGGAUAGAACUUCUCUUCCUACUAUGGUUUUUGUAAAGGAUUUGUUGAUAUGGAUUCUUUUUUUCUUCUAUUUUUCUACUAGCAGCAGGGUUGUCUUUCCAAAUGGCUGCCAAGCUCUGCUUCCCGGGGAGACGCAGGCCGACCGGCGUUCACCUCGGGGGGGCGGAGCGUGCAGGUGGACUUGAAGGACAAGGAUGUGGCUGGACGGGCAGAGCACUGGUGAGGGCACAAGGAGACAGCACCGUGUAGUCAGUUAGGGGUUUGCUCUCUGGUCACCUAGAGAUCCUAAGAGAAUGCCGCAGCCCCUUUCUGUGCUGGAUGUGCUUCUCACCCAGAGGCCUCCCCUCCUCCUCGCCUACCAUGGGCUUCAUCCCAGCCGCCACAGCCUCGCCCCCACGCACAGCUGGGAUAAGGACCGCAGGAGGAGAAAGGCAAGGACCCACGUUUUUCCCUUGCAAGAGGCCUUAAUACCCUUCAGAGAAGGAGCUCAAAACACGCAGUGCAGUUGCUGUGGGAACCUGAGCCUGGGGGCUGUACCCCCUUGGCUGGCUCCCUGCCGAGGACGAGGAGGAGAGCAGGGCCCAGCAAUGGUGUAUAAACACAUCAGCAAGUGGCAGAGAGAGCUGCGAGGAGAUGCGCGGCCCAGGUGGGCAGCGAAAGAAGAUGUGUGAAGGGUCAAGUUCAGGAUGGAAAGGACGGUUCUGUCCACAUGGUAUUGUCGGGGAUUGGCUGUGGUGUUGGCUGAUCCAUCCAUCCACACGGAAGGGAUGUAACCCUAGUUACAUAGUGAGAGAUUCACAGACUUCGCUACCACAAAGUAACAGCUCUGUUUCUUAAGGGCAAGAAAGAUUAUGUUUCAGAAUUAGACACAAUGGAGGGUUUAGAGGAAAUCAAAGAGGAGUUGUGCUCUGCACUGGAGAAUUGGGUUGCGUGAAUGCUCUGUCAGAGGUGAGAGCAGGGAGAUGGUAUAAGGUCUGUUUAUUAAAUGGGUGAAUCUAGUGCCAUUUUUUUGUUUAGUGAAGACAGAGUCGAAAUUGAAGAGAUCAGACCAUGAAAAUCACCGCACACUUAUUUUUUUUUGUUUUAUGAAGUAAAUACAGAUUUAAAAGGCCUUAAUGAAAUCCAAGCAACUUUCUUUUACCUUGAAGAUUAAAAAUGUACACCCAACGCAGCACUGGACAUUGUAACAAGGCUUUUGAAGUUUCUUUAAGGUCUAAAAAGGUGGGUGCGUCUCACUGCAGAGAGCCGUUAGCAAGCAGGGAAGACUGGAGCCUGCGGUGCCAGGCAUCGCAUAAAGAGGCCUCUCUGGGCGCCUGCAUUCUAAAGAUGCAAAUCCACGUGCAGAAGGAGGCAACAGUUCUUAGUUGGUUUUUUUUUAACCAAGUGCCAUUAACAUUCACUGUCCACACCCUUUCUCUAAACCAGCUGAGUGUUACUUGGGGAAUGUGUUGGGAUGGACGAUCACCUAUGAGGCGGGAAGAACGGGACAAAGAGGUUGAAGGGCAAAGGUAAGAGCAGAGGGUUUGCGAAGGUGUUUUUUGGAUGCUGAGAAAGUUAAUAGAAGAAAAAGCAAUGGUGUUACAUAUCUCACAGAGAGAUGAGAACGCAUUCAGAUCUGCUGCAAAAUAGAUAUGUCCACAAAGACUCGGGCUGUUCAAAACAGAUUGUGAACACAAUCACGUUAGCAUGAAUCCUUUAAAAGGACGAAUACCUUAAAGUAUUUGCAAAUCUGAAUUUCUAUUUAUUCCUUCAUUGAAUAUAGAAACAAUGGUUAUCUGAUUAUUAGAGAGAUUAUUUUGGAUAUGUUACUUAUUAACUUGCUAUGGCUGGUAACCAUGAUAAAGUCUGUUAUUAAUAACAACAUAAUUCUUUUUUUAAAACAAAAGAAAAGCUUAUUUUUCAUUGACCGUGUAUAGAUUUAUCUACUUAGUUGUGUUUUGCUCUCAGUGCUUUAAGUUUUUUUAAGUUGAGUGUUCUGAUAAAUUUUAGGAGCUUGUCCCCACCUUGUUUUGAGUCCUGUGUUGACUGCAGGUAUACAGCUCAAUUGAAAAAUCCUAAAGCAAAAGAACUUUCUUUAUGAAAGAAUCAAACAGUUGCAUGCGUGAGGCUGUGCGGUCGGGUAGUUAGAAAUAGAGCAGCAGUGCCUUUUUUUGUAUUUGCCCAUCGACCCCAGAUGCAGCUGUUUUAUAUUAAGUAACUAGUAAACGUUAAAGAUCUCAGAGUACAAUAUAUUUCACUACAUGUGUUUUCCCACUUGUUCUGAUUUAAGCCGUGUGUAUCUGGCACCUCUACCCCGUCCCAGGGACAGAGUGCUCUACGAUAUUGUUAUCAUGUCUGAUGUUUUAUUGGUGCUUUUUAUUCAUAGUGGUUUCUUACCGGAAACAGUAGGAAGACACACAUGAACUGUGUGCAAGAAAUGAAACAUUGCUGCUGAUAAGAUUUUUUUUCCACAUGCUUUUUAAGUUUCACUUUUUAAACAAGGGCCAGCAAGCAAAAUAGAUGCUGCUGGGUCUGCCUGCAGAGGGCGGCCGUGGCAGCAAGCUCUCGAAUCCCAUGCAGCCCUGCUCCCUUUUUGGUACUCAGGAUUGGAGCUACAGCUGGGCCCCUCUCCCAUUCGUUUGAAGAGACACUGAGGGAAACGACGUUUCCUUUUGAGGUGUCGUUGGCUGCCUUUUACGGAACGGGAGCCUUCGCCGGGUCCUUGUUGUCCUGCACCUCUUGCAGCUACUGCCCGGGCAGGGUAUGUAGAUGCCCAUUCCCCCACCAGACCCAGAUUUCACCGCGAGCGGGGCUGCGGCCCUGCGCUGGGCUGAAUGCCUGGGCAUGCAAGCAGAAGGGCAGCAAGGGGCGGAGAAGCCGGCGCCCGCCUCACUCGCCUUCUGGAGUUGUCUGCAGCAGGCGGCUCCAGCCUGGGUACAGGGAAGCAGCCUGACCCAGGCGCUUGGCUGUGCCUGCGACAGGAAGGACCUGCGGAAGGAUAAUUUGCACAUGGGGCUGUGAUAACACUAAUAAUGUUGGGUUUUUUUAUUUUACAAGUCAUCAGAGAUGUUUGCAAAGUGAGUUUUAUUUUUUUGUAAUUCCUUUAUCUUUCCUUAAAGGUGAAUGUGUAUUCCUCUGGGAGGAAUAGGAAGAAAACAGAAAUGUUAAUAAUGUCAAACAGAAGACUUCCUCCCUUAUUAAUAUAUAACCCUCAUGUAUUUAUGCCUACUGUAAGCUGACUUUUAAAAAGCUUCCUUUUGUUGCAUGCCCCGUGCAGGCACCCCUACGUACAUGCAUGCCUUUCGUCCUGUUUCCUGUAUAAAGUUAGUGAACAGAGAGCUAUUUUUGCCUAGUUCAUGUUGCCAAGCAAUGCAUAUUUUUUAAAUUUGUCAUAAUAUGGAAAUAGCAUGUUUGUUACAUGUAAAAGCUUUCCUGAUAUACGGAUACGCUAAUGUUUGAAGAUGCUCUUCUUUGCAAGUGUACAGUUUUCAAAUGUUGUUACCAGUGAAACACCCUUGUGGUUUAAACUUGCUACAGUGUAUUUAUUACUCAUUUCCUCCCAUGUAACUAAAUCAUGGCUAUAUUUCAUAUCAACGUUAUAUUGAAAGUGAAGGGAAAUGAUUAAUACAAGGUUUUGUAACAC